UGUCAGAUUAUGGUAUAUUUCUUGAUUUUAACUAUCUCUGUAAACGAACUUUAAAUGUCAAAUAUUGAAUAUUUUUGCUGUCUCUGUAAACGCACAUGAAAACGAGGGUACCUUUAUGUAAUUGUUUUAUGUUCAUUAAAUUUUAUAUCCAAAAUCUUACAUGUUUAAUGAUAAAAUAAAUAUUAAAAUUAUCGUUAUAAGUUUUAAAUAAGAUUUGGUGUGUUUAAAUUAGUUUAUUUCAAUUGUGAAUUUAGUUAUUUGUAUAUAAAGCUUACUUGUCUCUGAUUGGUCAAUUUUGGCGGAUUAGUAUGACUGUUCGAAAUGAUGUUUUAAAAUAGUCGUGGCACUUUUCUGGUGGACGUUGAGGUGUAGACAACACACGAAAGUUAAGUAUUCUUCCCGAUUUAUAUUUUCUUACUGUGAUGUGAUUAUUGUAAUUGUUGUUUUAUGUAUUAUUGUGCUGAUGUUUAAAAUGUAUAGUGAUCUAUCGCUUUAUACAUGUCUUUAAGAUAUAUUUAUGCUGUACUGUGUAUUACAUUGGGUACCAUAUGGAAUUAUUUCUUUAUGAUCUAUAUGAUUUAUGUUCUAAUGGGUUAUAACCAUACAGACAGAAUUGUGUUGCUGGGGAGUUUGUUCCACCACUUCUUCUUCCCAGCAAAAACACAUAGGAAGUGGUGAAGGGUGGGCGUUUUGGGGGCUGUCUAUUGUAAAAUCCUGACGUUCUAAAAGUGCUGUUUUGCAGCCGAGUUUGAAUAAAUGAUUUUUCAUUUCGAUUUGAUUUUGAUCAUAGAAAAUGUUUUAUUUAUUUUUUAUACCUUUGUUUUAUUCCUUGCUUUCUACACUUAUUCUUGGGAUUUCAAUAAUUAAAUAAUACAUUAAAUUGCUCUAUUAUGUAUCAAAAUCUAACAUCAGAAGUGGGAUAGCGCUGCCUCAAUUAUAUUUUUUUAACAUAUGGCCAUGUUUCAGGAUGGAUACUGAGACAAGCGGUAAAUCAAAAUAAUGAUGUGGCGCUUCCAGUCCUUGAUCUGAAAAAAAAAGCGACAACGGUGCUACCAGGUGGAGCAACAGCAUUGAAACGCUCGCCAAGGAUCUCACCUGGAGUAGCAUAAAAACAGUGGCUAAGGCAGGUAAGGCCCUUAAAGGGUCUGCUUUGAUUUGGUUGAAUCGAACGUUGUGUCUACAGUGGUUUCUGUUGAAUACGGCUUGUGAUGGUUUGUCAGACUGGCCAAGCGGUUUGUGGAAGGUUUAGCAGUCUAAUAAUACAACUGUUCAAAAUCAACAGGUUUGACUCCAAUUCGAUUACUUAUUGGCUGUAAUGCCAACAUUCCAUCAAUUCACUGGCCUUAAUGAUGUUAAUGUUUCUGAACCUAGUAUAUUGAUGUCAGGGUAGAUCGAGAAUUAGCACGACAGCGGUUGCAAUCGAAGGCCAUUAAAUUUCAAAAUCGUUUUGAUGCUUAUAGGCGAAAUACUAUAAAUUUUUAGAUUGGAAAUACGGUAUAUGUCAAUAAAAAUCUAGGCGUCAUGACAAACUCGGUCCUAGAUUAAGGGGUCCAUAUACUAUAAUUUGUAUUCUUCCUAAUGAUAGGUAUAUUUUGAGGGGUCUAGGUAAUUCACGAAAUAUUAUUAUUGCUAAGGAUAAAUUAAGAUUAUGGACCGGUGAAUGGGUAGAUGAUAAUGCGUCUGAAUAGUACAAUGUCUGAAUAGUAUAAUGUCUGAAUAGUAUAAUGUCUGAAUAGUAUAAUGUCUGAAUAGUAUAAUGUCUGAAUAGUAUAAUGUCUGAAUAGUAUAAUGUCUGAAUAGUAUAAUGUCUGCAUAGUAGUUUGUAAUGAUUGCUGUUUAUUUUGUCAGUUGCUUAAGAAUAAAUCGAUUAUAUAUAAAAUCAUUGUAUUAACGACUAAUAUGUGGUUUAAUUCUUAUUGUAAUUACAUAAAUAAAUAGUAGACAAGAUACUGUGUAGUUACUGUGAGUGGUUGGAAUGUUAAACUGUAAUUGUUAUUGGUCUACUUAAUGUGAAAAGUGAGGCGGUAACAUUGUUAUACUGUAGUUGUUAUUCGUCUACUUAAUGUGAAAAGUGAGGCGGUAACAAUGUUAUACUAUAGGUGUUAUUCGUCUACUUAAUGUGAAAAGUGAGGCGGUAACAAUGUUAUACUAUAGGUGUUAUUCGUCUACUUAAUGUGAAAAGUGAGGCGGUAACAAUGUUAUACUAUAGGUGUUAUUCGUCUACUUAAUGUGAAAAGUGAGGCGGUAACAAUGUUAUACUAUAGGUGUUAUUCGUCUACUUAAUGUGAAAAGUGAGGCGGUAACAUUGUUAUACAGUAGUUGUUAUUCGUCUACUUAAUGUGAGAAGUGAGGCGGUAACAAUGUUAUACUAUAGGUGUUAUUCGUCUACUUAAUGUGAAAAGUGAGGCGGUAACAUUGUUAUACAGUAGUUGUUAUUCGUCUACUUAAUGUGAGAAGUGAGGCGGUAACAAUGUUAUGCUGUAGUUGUUAUACGUCUACUUAAUGUGAGAAGUGAGGCGGUAACAAAUUGUAUUAGUUUUUAAGUUUCUGUUAUUCGUCUACUUAAUGUGAGAAGUGAGGCGGUAACAAAUUGUAUUAGUUUUUAAGUUUCUGUUAUUCGUCUACUUAAUGUGAGAAGUCAGGCGGUAACAAACUGUAUUAGUUUUUAAGUUUCUGUUAUUCGUCUACUUAAUGUGAGAAGUCAGGCGGUAACAAACUGUAUUAGUUUUUAAGUUUCUGUUAUUCGUCUACUUAAUGUGAGAAGUCAGGCGGUAACAAACUGUAUAAGUUUUUAAGUUUCUGUUAUUCGUCUACUUAAUGUGAGAAGUCAGGCGGUAACAAUGUUAAACUGAAUUCGUUUUUAAGUUUUAAGCAUUACCAAUGUUUUGUAGACAGUAUAAUAUAAAGAGGUACUUCGAGAGCGAAGUACAGGUCAGUAUGGCCGUGUCAGAUUAUGGUAUAUUUCUUGAUUUUAACUAUCUCUGUAAACGAACUUUAAAUGUCAAAUAUUGAAUAUUUUUGCUGUCUCUGUAAACGCACAUGAAAACGAGGGUACCUUUAUGUAAUUGUUUUAUGUUCAUUAAAUUUUAUAUCCAAAAUCUUACAUGUUUAAUGAUAAAAUAAAUAUUAAAAUUAUCGUUAUAAGUUUUAAAUAAGAUUUGGUGUGUUUAAAUUAGUUUAUUUCAAUUGUGAAUUUAGUUAUUUGUAUAUAAAGCUUACUUGUCUCUGAUUGGUCAAUUUUGGCGGAUUAGUAUGACUGUUCGAAAUGAUGUUUUAAAAUAGUCGUGGCACUUUUCUGGUGGACGUUGAGGUGUAGACAACACACGAAAGUUAAGUAUUCUUCCCGAUUUAUAUUUUCUUACUGUGAUGUGAUUAUUGUAAUUGUUGUUUUAUGUAUUAUUGUGCUGAUGUUUAAAAUGUAUAGUGAUCUAUCGCUUUAUACAUGUCUUUAAGAUAUAUUUAUGCUGUACUGUGUAUUACAUUGGGUACCAUAUGGAAUUAUUUCUUUAUGAUCUAUAUGAUUUAUGUUCUAAUGGGUUAUAACCAUACAGACAGAAUUGUGUUGCUGGGGAGUUUGUUCCACCACUUCUUCUUCCCAGCAAAAACACAUAGGAAGUGGUGAAGGGUGGGCGUUUUGGGGGCUGUCUAUUGUAAAAUCCUGACGUUCUAAAAGUGCUGUUUUGCAGCCGAGUUUGAAUAAAUGAUUUUUCAUUUCGAUUUGAUUUUGAUCAUAGAAAAUGUUUUAUUUAUUUUUUAUACCUUUGUUUUAUUCCUUGCUUUCUACACUUAUUCUUGGGAUUUCAAUAAUUAAAUAAUACAUUAAAUUGCUCUAUUAUGUAUCAAAAUCUAACAUCAGAAGUGGGAUAGCGCUGCCUCAAUUAUAUUUUUUUAACAUAUGGCCAUGUUUCAGGAUGGAUACUGAGACAAGCGGUAAAUCAAAAUAAUGAUGUGGCGCUUCCAGUCCUUGAUCUGAAAAAAAAAGCGACAACGGUGCUACCAGGUGGAGCAACAGCAUUGAAACGCUCGCCAAGGAUCUCACCUGGAGUAGCAUAAAAACAGUGGCUAAGGCAGGUAAGGCCCUUAAAGGGUCUGCUUUGAUUUGGUUGAAUCGAACGUUGUGUCUACAGUGGUUUCUGUUGAAUACGGCUUGUGAUGGUUUGUCAGACUGGCCAAGCGGUUUGUGGAAGGUUUAGCAGUCUAAUAAUACAACUGUUCAAAAUCAACAGGUUUGACUCCAAUUCGAUUACUUAUUGGCUGUAAUGCCAACAUUCCAUCAAUUCACUGGCCUUAAUGAUGUUAAUGUUUCUGAACCUAGUAUAUUGAUGUCAGGGUAGAUCGAGAAUUAGCACGACAGCGGUUGCAAUCGAAGGCCAUUAAAUUUCAAAAUCGUUUUGAUGCUUAUAGGCGAAAUACUAUAAAUUUUUAGAUUGGAAAUACGGUAUAUGUCAAUAAAAAUCUAGGCGUCAUGACAAACUCGGUCCUAGAUUAAGGGGUCCAUAUACUAUAAUUUGUAUUCUUCCUAAUGAUAGGUAUAUUUUGAGGGGUCUAGGUAAUUCACGAAAUAUUAUUAUUGCUAAGGAUAAAUUAAGAUUAUGGACCGGUGAAUGGGUAGAUGAUAAUGCGUCUGAAUAGUACAAUGUCUGAAUAGUAUAAUGUCUGAAUAGUAUAAUGUCUGAAUAGUAUAAUGUCUGAAUAGUAUAAUGUCUGAAUAGUAUAAUGUCUGAAUAGUAUAAUGUCUGAAUAGUAUAAUGUCUGCAUAGUAGUUUGUAAUGAUUGCUGUUUAUUUUGUCAGUUGCUUAAGAAUAAAUCGAUUAUAUAUAAAAUCAUUGUAUUAACGACUAAUAUGUGGUUUAAUUCUUAUUGUAAUUACAUAAAUAAAUAGUAGACAAGAUACUGUGUAGUUACUGUGAGUGGUUGGAAUGUUAAACUGUAAUUGUUAUUGGUCUACUUAAUGUGAAAAGUGAGGCGGUAACAUUGUUAUACUGUAGUUGUUAUUCGUCUACUUAAUGUGAAAAGUGAGGCGGUAACAAUGUUAUACUAUAGGUGUUAUUCGUCUACUUAAUGUGAAAAGUGAGGCGGUAACAAUGUUAUACUAUAGGUGUUAUUCGUCUACUUAAUGUGAAAAGUGAGGCGGUAACAAUGUUAUACUAUAGGUGUUAUUCGUCUACUUAAUGUGAAAAGUGAGGCGGUAACAUUGUUAUACAGUAGUUGUUAUUCGUCUACUUAAUGUGAGAAGUGAG
rnacentral:lncRNA from 1 species